GAAACAAUUACUAAACAGUAAAAAAAUUCUUGAUUAAUGUGCUGCGUUCGUGCAUAAUGUUCACGUGUUGUGUUUCGGAUUUACCUUGCCGGUUUUUCUUUGAAGCGUUACCGAUAUUUGAUGACAAAAAUCCAGAGCUCUGCAGCCACCCUCUAUGUUUGGUUGCCUUCGUGCACGCACGCUCUGCAUGCCUGGUAGAACCGGGUCUGAUUAGUAUGCACUUAUAUGGGAUACAAGAUUUGUGCUUCUUACAAUCAUUGUGUGCUGCAUGCAUUUCCUAUUUCAUUUAAUUGCUAAGAAAUUUCAUUAUUUUGAUUGCACUUUUUUAUCUUUCAUCUUGUUAUUUGAAUAUCUUGUAAUAUUUUAAACAAAUGCUUCUGGC
rnacentral:lncRNA from 1 species